GGUUCCGUGGCCCAAUGGUUAAGGCAUUCGCCUUCUAAGCGGAGGAUUGCGGGUUCGAUCCCCGCCGGGACUU
rnacentral:tRNA from 2 species